ensembl:lncRNA
CUGGGAUCAGCAUUCUCAAGACACAGUGAAUUAGAGAACAGAAUGAAUCAGAAGUGCAGCCUCAGAAACAACGACAAAGCUUUUGUCUCUGGGCUUUCAGUUAACUCUGGCAUUAAACCUGGGGGAACUCAAUCCACUACUCCUCAUGCAAGAACUCCUACACAGAUCAGGAGCACAGAGAUUAUUUCCCCAAGUUUCAAGAACAAACUUGUGAAAACGUGCCUUGAAGUUCUUAGUUUUAAACUCUUUACUAGUAAAAUUAAGUUAUUAGAACAAAACUAAAUGAAAGUGUAAUUCAAAAUUAAUUCCUAUCAUUUUGAUACAUUUACAUUACGCUUCAGUUACCACAACCAUUCCUGCCAAGAUUUUUAGUGAUGGAGUUACUGUUACAGAUCGGUGUUACAUGCUAGUAUGCCACAAGUAGCAAUCCACUUCCAUGUCUUUAACAGUUUCCUCAGUCACCCUGAGAGGGCUGCAAAACAUCCAGGGUGGUAUUUCUCAUUCAGCAAUAGUGGUUCUACAAGAAGCUUAUCUGUUGCUCAAGAAGAUAAAAAAAACACUUGUUCUAACUUGAGGAUUAGACUUAAAAAUUAAGGAUGAUUAAGGCCUGCACUCUGAACACUGCAAAGGAAGCAUUAUUUCACUUUAUUCAGAUAGGUUGUAUCAGCAUAGUACCGUUAAGGAUGUGCAGAAGCAAUACUAGGGGAAAAAAAAAGAAAAAUCACCUGAAGGUGAUUUUACUUAGUUCAAAGCAUUACAAACAACUGCUUACAAUUAAUAACAAUGCUUAACACAUAACUUCAUAGAAAUUGCUUCAAAGUAUUGUCUACAUAAAAAAUACAAGUAGUUUUAGAUAACAGCAUGCAGCUACAAACAUAUCCAACCACUCCACCUCUCUUCCUGAGAGAAGACUUACAGUCAGAACUAAGACAAAACAUUCUCAACACUGGAACCGCUUCCUACCUCCAGCUCCUCAGUAUUCCUAUGGGCAGUUUUAUUCCCUAUCGUUAACAAAAUGCUCCCCUUGGGCCCUUUAAACUCCAUCACACAUUAUAUAACCAAUUUCCCAGACAGUAGUAGCUGCCAGCAGCUUUCUCCACAGGGUUGUCCAAUAGGUCUCCCACGAAACUGACUUCCAGGAGCUGGUCUACUCAUCCAGAACCUUCAGACUGCUUAGGAUAACCUAGUAGUUCUGAAUUACAUGAUUUCAUUGGCCUUAGGGGAUACUAUUUUAAAAUAUGUCUAAUUACAAUACACAAUAGCAUAUAAUAUAAUCAGAGUAUAACAGCAUUAUCGCAUGUGGUAUUUCCAUGGGCAAUUUGAUCUCCAGAACUAUUCAAGUAAUAGUAUUCCUAAGCAAUAUCUUAAUGGUAUAAACACAAAAUGAGAAGCUUGCAUAAUACAGCAAGAGGAGAAAACUGGGACAAAUUAAAACCCAGCCCCUACAGUUCCUCAAAACAAACCUCAGUUUAGAGAGUCUGGGCAAUUCCAAGAAACAUAAUCCAUCAAAAAGUUUGAAACAAAAAAAAAGAGAUUAUUGGUUUCAAAGACAGAAGUGUUACAGUACAAAAGGCUUUGAACAGAUUAUAGGGUACACCACUUAUAUCCAGCUGCUUUUUAAAGCUUGCAGCUGUUAUCUGAUGCUUUCAGAACCGAAGAGAGGCCUGGAGUAAAGUGCUUAAACACUGGUGCUCUUCAACAACCACAUUGAACUUGAAACUUGGACUUGAAUCUUUGAAGUGUUCCUCAUUCCAAGGACAUCUUCAAGUGCUGAAAAAGGUAGGGAAAGAAUAAGCUACAGGCACUGGCAAAAAAAAUAAAAUACAAGUAAGACUAACAACACAGCAUAAGAAUCAGUUCCACAGUUAACACCCCCUUUGGCUAAGCCCAAUUUAGAGUGUGCCAUGCAUUUAAGUCUCCUCACUUCCAACUAAAUUUCGGAGAGACUAUGAAUUAAAUUUCACUCCCCUCCUCAGGAAGUGGCACAGUGUACGCUUGAAGAGGCCAUCUAUUUUGAGCACUUGGUGCAACAAGGCUAUAACAAGGCAGACAACUCACCAG